rnacentral:rRNA from 1 species
AGUGAACGCUGGCGGUAGGCCUAACACAUGCAAGUCGAACGGCAGCACAGUAAGAGCUUGCUCUUACGGGUGGCGAGUGGCGGACGGGUGAGGAAUACAUCGGAAUCUACUUUUUCGUGGGGGAUAACGUAGGGAAACUUACGCUAAUACCGCAUACGACCUACGGGUGAAAGCAGGGGAUCUUCGGACCUUGCGCGAUUGAAUGAGCCGAUGUCGGAUUAGUUAGUUGGCGGGGUAAAGGCCCACCAAGGCGACGAUCCGUAGCUGGUCUGAGAGGAUGAUCAGCCACACUGGAACUGAGACACGGUCCAGACUCCUACGGGAGGCAGCAGUGGGGAAUAUUGGACAAUGGGCGCAAGCCUGAUCCAGCCAUACCGCGUGGGUGAAGAAGGCCUUCGGGUUGUAAAGCCCUUUUGUUGGGAAAGAAAAGCAGCAGGUUAAUACCCCGCUGUUCUGACGGUACCCAAAGAAUAAGCACCGGCUAACUUCGU